rnacentral:tRNA from 1 species
GGGGAUUUAGCUCAGUGGCAUAAGUGCCUGCCUUGUAGGCACAUAGUCGUGAGUUUGAACCCCACUACCCCCC